GCUGCCCCCUUGACUGGAUGCAGCAAAUGGCUGUUGCCUGGGACAGCUGGGCCUGGAGUCCUGGCUUCCUGCCGAAAAGGGAGCAGCGGAGAAUUGGGCUCUGGCUUCCGGCUGGGCUGGUGGAUGACCACUCAGGAUGCUGAAAUCUCCCUCAGCAAUUAGCUGAUGGCUCCCUGAAGAUACUUCACCAUGAGGUGGAACUCACUAAGAAAAAGACAAAGUUUUCAUUCUACAUUGGAGAUGAAUCCUAAAAUGCAACUGCUCCUGAGGGACACACGACAACUCAGGCAACUUUAUAUCAAGAUGCAAAUGGCUCAUGUGAGUUGGAAAGAGGGGAACACCAAGAGCUCAGGGCAAGGCUGCCACAGGGACCGCGGGUGGGAGUGGCAGGCGUCCGGAGCAAACUCUGCCACCCGCACGGAUGUGCCAAAGGAAACCAUGUAGUCAGCUUUGAAAAUAAAAGUCCAGGCAAUCUACGCUUUCCAGGACAGCCAAGAGUGUUUUCUGUGGGCUGGUGCCUGUGUUUUCUUACUCUGGUUGCUCAAGGUGGUGGGGGAGGGUAGAAAGGGGAAGUGGUUAUGGCACUGGGAAAACGUCCAACUGGUAGUGGGAAAUGUGGAUGGUCUGGGGACCAAAAUGAAUCUUUGUGGACCAUUCUCUCUGGGAUUUAAGAUUCUAUAUCCAUGUUCCUGUCUUUUAAAUAGCUCCAUACCAUGCUCAAAGGGCAAGAAAGUGUAAUUUAUUCCUUCCUUCCUUCCUUCCUUCUUCCCUCCCUCCCUCCUUCCUUUUUUUUUUUUUUUUUUUUGUGGGAAGAGAGAGCAUGAACAGGGGAGAGGGGCAGAGGGAGAGAGAAAACCCAAGUGGGGCAGGCUCCAAGUUGUCAGCAGGGAGCCCAAGGUGGGGCUCCAUCUCACCACCAUGAGAUCAUGACCUGAGCUCAAAUCAAGAGUCGGAUGCUUAACUGGCUGAGCCACCCAGGUGCUCCUGUCUACUUUUCUUAUCAGUGCCCAGAUAUCAGACCACAUGCCCAGUUACCCAAGUCAGAAACCAGAAGCCUUCCUGGAUCAUCCACCUUCACUCUCCUCUCUCCUUCCUCUCCCCUACAUAAUCUGCCAUCAAGUCCAUCAGUGCUACUCUAGACUACUUCUCUACUUCUCUAUCUCUUCUGCCAAUGCCAUGGUCUGAGCCAUCAGCAUCUCUUUCCUAGACCAUUAAGACAUUUGCUAUCUUUUGACUGCCCUCUUGCCCUUCUUCCAUUCAUUCUCCACAUGGCUGUCAUAAUAUUCUUAAAAUACAGAUCAAAACAUGCCAUUCAGUCUCCUCCUCAAAAUCCUUCAAUAGCACUUGAUUACACUUGGUAUAAAAUCUGAAAUCCUUGCCAUGGCUUCCAGGGUCUAUAUGGGAUGACUUCUCUGCAUCCCUGUUCAGCCUUAUCUGUAUGACUUUGCCCCCAGUCUCCUCACUUGAGCCCUGUGCCCCCCACCCAAGUCUUCCCAAGCAACUUUCUUCAACAGGCCCUUGACGCCUGCAAUCACUGCUGCCUGUGGACCGAAGAUACCAUUUGUCUAGCUCUUCACUGGGCUAAUUGUUACCCAGACUUCAGUCCCAACCUAAAUGUCAGUUGCUCAAAGUAGCUUUCUUUAUUUGACUUCCCCUAUUCAGAUUUACUCCCUCAAUUAGGCUUUCUCAUGGCACCCAACAAUUUUUGUUUCAUAGCACUUAGGGCAUUUUAUAACCAAUAACAUUUGAUUAUGUCAUGAUUUGUUUAGCUACCACCCUCCCCUUACCAAUUCUAGACUCGAAUUCAACGCUGUUGUUUGGUGAUAGGAAAGGGCAUAUAUCUGUGCAUUAGAAGGGGAGAUAAAGAUGAAAGCCGUGUCCCUCACUGCUGCCACCAUUGGGUGGGAAGAGGGUAGCAUUAUCAGUCACCCGGCAGGAGGCAGUAUUGCCCUGCCAGUCAGCAGUUUCGUGAGGGUAAUGACAAUGGCAGUGUGGCAAGAGGGUGAGACUGGGAUAUGAAGGUGAGGUUGGGAUAGGAAAAUGGGGGUUUUUUCCCCGAGCACAAAGAGGUGGCACAUGGAGCCCCUCAGAAUAGUUGGGAGCACUAAGGAGGAGGGGCUAAUCUGAUAAUUAGGUGAGAAAGAUUGGGAAUUAAAAGUAAAUGUGAAAAAGAAAAGAAAUGUGGUCUUAUCUUGGUGAAGUUUGGGACAUUUUGGCAACACUAAAAUUGGAAUAUUACGUUAAGGCUGAAGCUUAAAAAAAGAGGGUUAAAAAAGGCAUCCUGGGGGUGUGGAAAAGGUUCCUUGGCUUCAUUGUAUUUUUUCUUUGCCAAAUAAAGUCUGGGAACCGGGGUGUUUUCUCUAAGCCUAUUUCCUUUACUUUACAAGUAUUUUCUUGAGCUUUCCAUUUUUUUGGUACCAGAACAAGCGAAAGCUGUUUUGGAAAAUGUCCUUCUCCUUGACACUUGGUGCCUGGCAAGAUAGGAGCUCAUGAGGCCCAGGCAGCGAUCACAAUCUCUCCAUAAAAUACCCUUCUUCGUUAGAAGAUCAAAUGACUUACGGCCCCCACCUCCCUACUCCCUUCGUCUUCUCUAAGCACCUACAACAUCUAAGCAAACAAAACAGACGGUUUCAUGGGAAUGGUGGGUUGGUUUUAAUUGUGGGACAAUAAAACUAUUAAUAAGGGCCUAUUUUUUUAAAUGCUCUCUUAGAAACGGAAGCAAACUGGGAGAAAGAUCUUUGAAAGGGGUUGAUAAGAACCUCUCUGAGGAUUUGGUUAUUACCAAAUGAAAUGUUAUCUUCCUGGGAAAUGAGAGAGGCAGGGAAUCCUACAGAGAGGCUGCUAUUAAAGAGUCUCCUGUUUUCCUUAGCGGUUUCAUGUCUGCCAGUGUUUCUACAUAUAAGUGAAGGGUUUUCAGGCCACAUGUCUUGUGUUUCUUGUACAAUCCCUGCAACGCUUAAUGAUGGGCACAGAGUAGAUGAUCUGUUGUCGAAUGAAUGGUUCCAGCUUAGAUGCAUCCAUGCAUCCAUUCUUUCAUUUCCCCAACUAUUUGCUGAGCAUGCACCAUGCACCCGUCACCACACUGGUUGGUAGGGGUAAGAGGUGGGAGGAACAGUCACAGUAUCUGCUGUACUUUCUGUUGCCUUGGGAACAGUGAAUUUUCCCAUACUUAAUGAAGAUUACUUUCCGAGAUUCUGGUUGUGAUGUGACAUUUAGAUAUUAUUUUCCGACGAAAACAUUAAAGGAUCGACACACUUAAGCACGUCAAGAAGCAUUUCAUUCAACAAGCUUUUCUCCCAAGUGUCCUAGUGAUGUUCCUACUGCAAAAUCCUCCUUGGGCUUAUGCAAUGUCUACCACAUUUUCAGUCUAUAAAACAAUCUCCACUGCCACCCCAAAAUAACCCAACAUCAGUUCUGCAUUGUCGACUUCUUGCCUCUUAGUAAAAGAGCUUCUGUGGAAUUGGACUUUUCUCAACUGUCCGGCAGUUAUUGGCUUCGGAGCCUCAACUUAUAUUGUAAGCACACAUCACUAUUUAUUACCACUAAUGCUGCCUUUACAACAUUUCCAGAUGGACUUAUGCCUCCAGUUGCUGAGUGAGCAGAACAGAGUGAACAGAACAAGAGAUCAUAGAUUAAUUAAAGACAUUUUCUUGCUACUUUUGGAGUCAUAAUGUUUUACAGUCAACUCUAAUCAUUUGUUUAUAAUGUAUAUAAAUCAUAGCCUCUUUGGGGCUUUUACCUAAGGAGAGGCCAACAUGAUUAAUAAUUUCAUGAUGCAUGCUGAACCAAAGAUCCUUUUCUGUCUCUGUAUAUAUAUUUUUAGUGAGCUAUAAUUUAUAUACAGUAAUCCAUACAGAUAUUUGUUCAUUUCCUUUAUAAUUGCUGGAUUUCUUUCUGUAAAGUUGUCAUAAUAUUCCUUCAAUACCUUUUAACAUCUGUAGGAUCUGUAGUAACAUCUUCUCUGUAGCAUGCUCUAUGGAUUACAAUUUCCAUCCUUACUUUAUAUAACAGGCUACCAUAAGUUGAUAUUAUGCCACUUCUCAUAUAAUUAAAGAACCCUCUAAUAUUCUUCCAUAUAUCACCUCUCACCCCUUAUGCUACUAUUGUCAUAUAUUCUACUUUUGUAUAUGAAAUAAGCUCAAAAAUACAGUCAUUAUAUCUAUCUUAAACAAUCAUCAUUUUAUGAAACUAAGAGAAUGUUUAUCAUUUCUGUUAUUCCUCCUUCCUUUUUUUGUAGAUCUAGUUUACAUCUGGUAUCAUUUUCCUUUAGCCUGAAGAAUUCCUUUAGCAGUCUUUUUUUUUUUUUUUU